CGACGGGUGAGUAAUACAUCGGAACGUGUCUUCUAGUGGGGGAUAACUGCCCGAAAGGGCAGCUAAUACCGCAUGAGACCUGAGGGUGAAAGCGGGGGAUCGUAAGACCUCGCGCUGGAAGAGCGGCCGAUGUCCGAUUAGCUAGUUGGUGAGGUAAAGGCUCACCAAGGCGACGAUCGGUAGCUGGUCUGAGAGGACGACCAGCCACACUGGGACUGAGACACGGCCCAG
rnacentral:rRNA from 1 species